AUGUCGACCGAUGAAGAAGUGAAGGCGGAGGCGGCGGCGGCGCACUUCGUGUUCGUCCCGCUAAUGGCCCAGGGGCACAUCAUCCCUGCCGUCGACACCGCGCUGCUGCUGGCCACUCAAGGCGCGCUCUGCACCAUCGUCGCCACGCCGUCCACGGCGGCGCGGGUGCGCCCCACCGUCGAAUCCGCCCGGCGCUCCGGCCUGCCAGUCAGCCUCGUCGACUUCCCGCUCGACUACGCCGCGGUCGGCCUGCCCGACGGGGUUCCAGGCGGGGCGGACAACAUGGACAACCUCCCCCCGGAGUACAUGCUGGCCUACUUCUCCGCCGUCGCGCUCCUCCGGGGGCCGAUCAAGGCCCACCUCCGCGACCGCGCGCCCCGGCCACCGACAUGCAUCGUGUCCGACUUCUGCCACCCGUGGACCGUGGAGCUCGCGGCCAGCCUCGGCGUCCCCCGGCUCAGCUUCUUCAGCAUGUGCGCCUUCUGCGUCCUCUGCCAGCACAACGUCGAGAGGUUCAACGCCUACGACGGCGUGCUCGACUACAACCACCCGGUCGUCGUGCCGGGGCUGGAGAAGCGGUUCGAGGUGACGAGGGCGCAGGCCCCCGGCUUCUUCCGGGGCUGGCCCGGGUGGGAGAAGUUCGCCGACGACGUGGAGCGCGCGCGGGCCGAGGCCGACGGCGUCGUCAUGAACACCUUCGUGGAGAUGGAGCCCGAGUACGUCGCCGGCUACGCGGCCGCGAGGGCGAUGAAGGUGUGGACCGUGGGGCCGGUGUCUCUCUACCACCAACACGCCGCAACGCUGGCGGCGAGAGGGAACACCGCGGCAAUCGACACCGACGACUGCGUCCGGUGGCUCGACGACAGGGAGCCCGGCUCCGUGGUCUACGUCAGCUUCGGCAGCAUCGCGCACGCGGACCCGAAGCAGAUCUCGGAGCUCGGCCUGGGGCUGGAGGCGUCGGGCUACCCUUUCAUCUGGGUGGUCAAGGACGCCGGCCGCCACGACGAGGCCGCGCUCGCCUUCCUCCGCGAGCUCGAGGAGCGCGUCGCGGGGCGUGGACUGCUCGUCUGGGGGUGGGCGCCGCAGGCGCUCAUCCUGUCGCACCGCGCGGCGGGCGCGUUCGUGACGCACUGCGGCUGGAACUCGACGCUGGAGGCGGUCGCGGCGGGGCUGCCGGUGGUGACGUGGCCGCACUUCACGGACCAGUUCCUGAACGAGAAGAUGGCGGUGGAGGUGCUGGGGAUCGGCGUCAGCGUCGGGGUGAAGGAGCCAGUGAUGUACCGGAUGGAUGAGAAGGAUAUCGUGGUUGGGAGGGAGACGGUGGAGGCCGCGGUGAGGAGCGCCAUGGACGGCGGGGAGGAUGGCGAGGAGAGGCGCUGCAAGGCCCGUGCGCUCGCGGUGAAAGCGAGGGCGGCCAUGCGGGAGGGGGGCUCGUCGCACGCCAACAUCCGCGAUCUGGCCAAGAGUUUCCAGGUGGGCGCCACACAAGAUACCCCCGAGUGA
rnacentral:rRNA from 1 species